UUAAGCGACUAAGCGUACACGGUGGAUGCCCUGGCAGUCAGAGGCGAUGAAGGACGUGCUAAUCUGCGAUAAGCGUCGGUAAGGUGAUAUGAACCGUUAUAACCGGCGAUUUCCGAAUGGGGAAACCCAGUGUGUUUCGACACACUAUCAUUAACUGAAUCCAUAGGUUAAUGAGGCGAACCGGGGGAACUGAAACAUCUAAGUACCCCGAGGAAAAGAAAUCAACCGAGAUUCCCCAGUAGCGGCGAGCGAACGGGAGCAGCCCAGAGCCUGAAUCAGUGUGUGUGUUAGUGGAAGCGUCUGGAAAGGCGCGCGAUACAGGGUGACAGCCCCGUACACAAAAAUGCACAUGCUGUGAGCUCGAUGAGUAGGGCGGGACACGUGGUAUCCUGUCUGAAUAUGGGGGGACCAUCCUCCAAGGCUAAAUACUCCUGACUGACCGAUAGUGAACCAGUACCGUGAGGGAAAGGCGAAAAGAACCCCGGCGAGGGGAGUGAAAAAGAACCUGAAACCGUGUACGUACAAGCAGUGGGAGCCUCUUUAUGGGGUGACUGCGUACCUUUUGUAUAAUGGGUCAGCGACUUAUAUUCUGUAGCAAGGUUAACCGAAUAGGGGAGCCGAAGGGAAACCGAGUCUUAACUGGGCGUUAAGUUGCAGGGUAUAGACCCGAAACCCGGUGAUCUAGCCAUGGGCAGGUUGAAGGUUGGGUAACACUAACUGGAGGACCGAACCGACUAAUGUUGAAAAAUUAGCGGAUGACUUGUGGCUGGGGGUGAAAGGCCAAUCAAACCGGGAGAUAGCUGGUUCUCCCCGAAAGCUAUUUAGGUAGCGCCUCGUGAAUUCAUCUCCGGGGUAGAGCACUGUUUCGGCAAGGGGGUCAUCCCGACUUACCAACCCGAUGCAAACUGCGAAUACCGGAGAAUGUUAUCACGGGAGACACACGGCGGGUGCUAACGUCCGUCGUGAAGAGGGAAACAACCCAGACCGCCAGCUAAGGUCCCAAAGUCAUGGUUAAGUGGGAAACGAUGUGGGAAGGCCCAGACAGCCAGGAUGUUGGCUUAGAAGCAGCCAUCAUUUAAAGAAAGCGUAAUAGCUCACUGGUCGAGUCGGCCUGCGCGGAAGAUGUAACGGGGCUAAACCAUGCACCGAAGCUGCGGCAGCGACGCUUAUGCGUUGUUGGGUAGGGGAGCGUUCUGUAAGCCUGUGAAGGUGUGCUGUGAGGCAUGCUGGAGGUAUCAGAAGUGCGAAUGCUGACAUAAGUAACGAUAAAGCGGGUGAAAAGCCCGCUCGCCGGAAGACCAAGGGUUCCUGUCCAACGUUAAUCGGGGCAGGGUGAGUCGACCCUAAGGCGAGGCCGAAAGGCGUAGUCGAUGGGAAACAGGUUAAUAUUCCUGUACUUGGUGUUACUGCGAAGGGGGACGGAGAAGGCUAUGUUGGCCGGGCGACGGUUGUCCCGGUUUAAGCGUGUAGGCUGAUUUUCCAGGCAAAUCCGGAAAAUCAAGGCUGAGGCGUGAUGACGAGGCACUACGGUGCUGAAGCAACAAAUGCCCUGCUUCCAGGAAAAGCCUCUAAGCAUCAGGUAACAUCAAAUCGUACCCCAAACCGACACAGGUGGUCAGGUAGAGAAUACCAAGGCGCUUGAGAGAACUCGGGUGAAGGAACUAGGCAAAAUGGUGCCGUAACUUCGGGAGAAGGCACGCUGAUAUGUAGGUGAAGUCCCUCGCGGAUGGAGCUGAAAUCAGUCGAAGAUACCAGCUGGCUGCAACUGUUUAUUAAAAACACAGCACUGUGCAAACACGAAAGUGGACGUAUACGGUGUGACGCCUGCCCGGUGCCGGAAGGUUAAUUGAUGGGGUCAGCGCAAGCGAAGCUCUUGAUCGAAGCCCCGGUAAACGGCGGCCGUAACUAUAACGGUCCUAAGGUAGCGAAAUUCCUUGUCGGGUAAGUUCCGACCUGCACGAAUGGCGUAAUGAUGGCCAGGCUGUCUCCACCCGAGACUCAGUGAAAUUGAACUCGCUGUGAAGAUGCAGUGUACCCGCGGCAAGACGGAAAGACCCCGUGAACCUUUACUAUAGCUUGACACUGAACAUUGAGCCUUGAUGUGUAGGAUAGGUGGGAGGCUUAGAAGUGUGGACGCCAGUCUGCAUGGAGCCGGCCUUGAAAUACCACCCUUUAAUGUUUGAUGUUCUAACGUGGACCCGUAAUCCGGGUUGCGGACAGUGUCUGGUGGGUAGUUUGACUGGGGCGGUCUCCUCCUAAAGAGUAACGGAGGAGCACGAAGGUUGGCUAAUCCUGGUCGGACAUCAGGAGGUUAGUGCAAUGGCAUAAGCCAGCUUGACUGCGAGCGUGACGGCGCGAGCAGGUGCGAAAGCAGGUCAUAGUGAUCCGGUGGUUCUGAAUGGAAGGGCCAUCGCUCAACGGAUAAAAGGUACUCCGGGGAUAACAGGCUGAUACCGCCCAAGAGUUCAUAUCGACGGCGGUGUUUGGCACCUCGAUGUCGGCUCAUCACAUCCUGGGCUGAAGUAGGUCCCAAGGGUAUGGCUGUUCGCCAUUUAAAGUGGUACGCGAGCUGGGUUUAGAACGUCGUGAGACAGUUCGGUCCCUAUCUGCCGUGGGCGCUGGAGAACUGAGGGGGCUGCUCCUAGUACGAGAGGACCGGAGUGGACGCAUCACUGGUGUUCGGGUUGUCAUGCCAAUGGCACUGCCCGGUAGCUAAAUGCGGAAGAGAUAAGUGCUGAAAGCAUCUAAGCACGAAACUUGCCCCGAGAUGAGUUCUCCCUGACUCCUUGAGAGUCCUGAAGGAACGUUGAAGACGAUGACGUUGAUAGGCCGGGUGUGUAAGCGCAGCGAUGCGUUGAGCUAACCGGUACUAAUGAACCGUGAGGCUUAACCUU
rnacentral:rRNA from 1 species